rnacentral:rRNA from 1 species
ACAGCAGUAGCCACGGUAAUACGGAGGAUCCGAGCGUUAUCCGGAAUUAUUGGGUUUAAAGGGUGCGUAGGCGGAUAGAUAAGUCAGUGGUGAAAGACGGUGGCUCAACCAUCGCAGUGCCGUUGAUACUGUUUAUCUUGAAUAUGGAUGAGGUAGGCGGAAUGUGGCAAGUAGCGGUGAAAUGCAUAGAUAUGCCACAGAACACCGAUUGCGAAGGCAGCUUACCAAGGCAAAAUUGACGCUGAGGCACGAAAGCGUGGGGAUCGAACAGGAUUAGAGACCCCGGUAGUCCCUGUCUCUUAUAC